GGCUCCCUACGGGAGGCAGCAGUGGGGGAUAUUGCACAAUGGGGGAAACCCUGAUGCAGCGACGCCGCGUGUGGGAAGACGGUCUUCUGGAUUGUAAACCACUGUCCCCAGGGACGAAAAUGACGGUACCUGGGGAGGAAGCUCCGGCUAACUACGUGCCAGCAGCCGCGGUAAUACGUAGGGAGCAAGCGUUGUCCGGAAUUACUGGGUGUAAAGGGAGCGUAGGCGGGGAUGCAAGUUGGGUGUCAAAACUACCGGCUCAACCGAUAGUCGCACUCAAAACUGCCGCUCUU
rnacentral:rRNA from 1 species